rnacentral:rRNA from 1 species
CAGCGGAGCGUGUGGUUUAAUUCGAUGUUACACGAAGAACCUUACAGGGUUUGACAUGCAAGUGGUAGGAAGCCGAAAGGUGACCGACCCUUCGGGAGCUUGCACAGGUGCUGCAUGGCUGUCGUCAGCUCGUGUCGUGAGAUGUUCGGUUAAGUCCGCUAACGAGCGCAACCCUCGCUGUGUGUUAUAUGUGUCACACGGGACUGCCGGUCUUAAGCCGGAGGAAGUGGGGAUGAUGUCAAGUCAGCAUGGCCUUUAUAUCCUGGGCUACACACACGCUACAAUGGCCAACACAAUAGGUUGCUAAGCCGCGAGGUGGCGCCAAUCCAUAAAGUUGGUCUCAGUUCAGAUUGUAGGCUGCAACCCGCCUGCAUGAAGAUGGAGUUGCUAGUAACCGCAGGUCAGCUAUACUGCGGUGAAUACGUUCCCGGGCCUU